CAGUAAAAACGCAGAGAUUUUAUAAGUAAGUCAUUCUAAUUCAAAGUCAUUUCUUCAUUGUAUUCUUUUAUUUAUAUAAGGUUUCUCUUCAUACAGAAUAGUAGAAUUGUGAAUCGUAGAACGAAUUUAGGUUUGUAUUGAUGUUGUAUAGAUUUAGAUCUAAAACUUGGCAAAUCUUUAUUUUUUUUACGAUAACAAAAUCUAAAGUGCAGAUGAUGUUUAAAAGGCCAU